UUUCCGAUCAUCUUAAGGUCCCAUCGAAACCUAAAAGCUCCAUAAUCUAACAUGGUAUCAGAGCCAUAAGCUCCAUAUCCUUCAUUCAACCCACCUCAUUUACUUCCGCACCAAAUCUCUCUCUUUUCUUUGAUUGUGUUCGAUGAGUUCAUUCUAUGAUGAGAUGAGUUCUUUACACUCGAAAAUCAUUCCGGUUAUCCUCAAGGGAGGAAACUACUUGCUGUGGUCACGAACCACAAGAUCUGCUUUGUGUAGUCGGGGACUUUGGAACCAUAUCUUGAACGAAGAGGCGCCAAAGGAGACGACC
rnacentral:lncRNA from 1 species